UAGGUUAAAAUACCCAUAUUUGUCCCGUGUAAAUUGUAUAAUUAUUGUAUAGUUUUUUAUUCUUUUUAUUUAGUUUUAGUAUUAGAUUACAUUAUUUGGUGUUUUGGCAGGUUCUGGUGCAAAUGGAGCGGAAACGAGUAAUAAAGAAAUAACCUGCCAGUUGAGUAGAGUAGGGCGCCAAUGACUGAACUAAAAUAUUGCAACCAUUUUCCGUGAUUAGGCCGAACCCGCUAUUUCUAUGUUGCGGUUGCCAUCUUUACUAUUAUUUAUUGGUGUGGUGUUGGGCUUUUAAUACAUAUAUAAAACAAUUGUAUCCAUACAUCAGAUGCACGUGAGUCUAGUUUUGGAGGAUAUCAAGUGGACAUCAACAACUAAAUGGGUUGCCAUGAUUUUGUUUGGGCUGUGAACAAAAGAAAGAGUGUGGCGCAAAAAUUUUAGGGAGGCAACAGCAAGUGGAAUUAUGACAUUGGGCCGCAAGAAAGGCAUAAAACCCAACCAUAUUAUCUUUCGACAAACAUCAGUUGGAAAAGGGGAGUUAGACGACAGAAGGAUAAGGACGACAACAUCAGAGGACGGACGCACGGAGAAGAUUAUUUGGAGAGGGAGGUUCGAUCAGCCGUAAAAAGAAGAAGGGUUCAAGAUUCAAAGCCGCAAUCAAGAUUCAAGUCCGGGUUCACAACGAGUUAGUGUUUUGGUUUUAAUUUACUUUAUGUUAUUCGAACCAAUGAACAUGAUUUGUUAUUUAUUUGAGACUUAUUUCUUUUUAGUGACUAUGGUUCUUGGCUAAUUUUCUUUAACUACCUAGAUAUGGUUGAAUGA